rnacentral:rRNA from 1 species
UACGGAGGGAGCUAGCGUUGUUCGGAAUUACUGGGCGUAAAGCGCACGUAGGCGGCUUUGUAAGUUAGGGGUGAAAGCCUGGAGCUCAACUUCAGAAUUGCCCUUAAGACUGCAUCGCUUGAAUCCAGGAGAGGUGAGUGGAAUUCCGAGUGUAGAGGUGAAAUUCGUAGAUAUUCGGAAGAACACCAGUGGCGAAGGCGGCUCACUGGACUGGUAUUGACGCUGAGGUGCGAAAGCUAGGGGAGCAAACAGG